rnacentral:rRNA from 1 species
UGGGGAAUUUUGGACAAUUGGGCGAAAGCCUGAUCCAGCAAUGCCGCGUGUGUGAAGAAGGCCUUCGGGUUGUAAAGCACUUUUGUCCGGAAAGAAAUCCUUGGCUCUAAUACAGUCGGGGGAUGACGGUACCGGAAGAAUAAGCACCGGCUAACUACGUGCCAGCAGCCGCGGUAAUACGUAGGGUGCAAGCGUUAAUCGGAAUUACUGGGCGUAAAGCGUGCGCAGGCGGUUUGCUAAGACCGAUGUGAAAUCCCCGGGCUCAACCUGGGAACUGCAUUGGUGACUGGCAGGCUAGAGUAUGGCAGAGGGGGGUAGAAUUCCACGUGUAGCAGUGAAAUGCGUAGAGAUGUGGAGGAAUACCGAUGGCGAAGGCAGCCCCCUGGGCCAAUACUGACGCUCAUGCACGAAAGCGUGGGGAGCAAACAGGAUUAGAUACCCUGGUAGUCCACGCCCUAAACGAUGUCAACUAGUUGUUGGGGAUUCAUUUCCUUAGUAACGUAGCUAACGCGUGAAGUUGACCGCCUGGGGAGUACGGUCGCAAGAUUAAAACUCAAAUGAAUUGACGGGGUC